CAUGCUGUGUGUGUGUGGUAAUCGGGGGUAACAGGUUGUGUGUAUGUCAGUGGCGGAUUUAAGGGGUGCGGAAAGGGCGAUCGUUCCCCCUACACCAGCCCCGCAGAUUUGAGAAGCUAGGGUCCACUUCCGUACGUUACUUCCGCCCGCCGCAACCGCAACGCAUCUCGACCGUGACGGUGAUUAUCUGCAGCAGCACUGACAGUCUGAGUCUGACAAGUGUCAAAUUCAGACCGUCAAUGUAAGACCGUCUCCGCCCGCAGCCGCCGUUGAGAAUCUGAGUGCAAGGUGCCGAGGCAGUGUGUCACUCACUGUCCGGUGUCCCUGUAUAUUACCUUGUCCCUGUGUCCUGUCCUCGAAUCAGGGUGUAAUCUUCCAGGGCCUUGGUGCCUUCUGCUGCUGCCAUGUGCUGGUGUAUGUUCCCCAUAUGUCCUGCUCUCUGCCAGCUGCUGCUGAUGAUGAUAGGCCGGUGUCACCAGGUGCACCCGUCUCCCGCCGGUGUGCGACAGAAGCAGUCACUUACAAUUCCGUCUUCCUGUAGCAGUGGCGGCUGCAGCUGAGCGGAUUGUACAGCAGCUUAUAGCCCAGCCGCGAGCCAGCACCGCACACCGUGGGGGAGGGGGCGCCCGUAGCGAUCAUCACAACCACAGCGGGCACAUCAUCUCUGGCCACCCACCACGCCUCAUGGGAGCCCACGCAAGUCCUGUCACUAACAAAGUGUCGGGAAACUAACACGUAUGGCCUGUGUGUGACAGCAGCCUGCAUGCGGGACCGGACAAGGGGACAGUGGGCAUGGUGGAACAUAUGAAUCUCUCCUUCCCAUCCCAAACUCUCUCUGAAGGGUCACACUGGCACUGCUGCUGGAUUAUUAUAUGCAAUUACUGGCUGCUAGUCACAAACAGUGUCAGUGUGUCUGAUCACCCACUACAGAGACUAGCCGGGGAGACCAGUCUGCUCAGCCUGAUACCAGUACAGCUAGCGAUCCUAGCUCAGGGUUGCCUGCAGCCUUGCAGCAGAGCCUAGCACCGGGACGCCUCCCCAGGACACUGCUGCUGAGUUAUUGCUACACACAGCUAAGGCACCGCUGUUAUGACAGGUGUUCCUCACCGAAGAAUAGAAUAGAAUAAUGACAGUUCCCUAAUAUAUUAUAUACCAAGCGGAGGACUGGAAAGGGGAGGAGUAAUAAAUAGGAAGAGGAGGAGUCAGGAUUAAUUUUGAAAUUGCCCGCCCUAUAAGAAAUGUCUAGAUCUGCCCCUGGUGUAUGUAUAGUGAUUGGAGACGACAGGUUCUGUGUGUGUAUGUUUUGAAUCUGGGGAUCAGGCUGUGUGUGUGGUGUCUGUCGGACCAGGGAGGGGGGGUUUUGGCACACAGGCACGUCUCCACCCCAUGUCGUUUCUGCCAUAUUUUUUUUUUUAAAACAGGGAUCUGCGGCAGUGUGGUGCAAUGAAGGGGCAUGCAGCAGUGCUGUCAGCGCAGUACUAGCAGGAGGAGGCGGUCCAGCCAAUCCAGCCCCUCCUAUCACCUUUUCUUCCUCUCUCUACCGCUGUUGCCCAACAUCAUGAUUCCAAGAAAACCAGAAGAGGGGACCUGCUGCUGUCGGUGCUGAAAGGAGGACCAGCUGCUACCGGCACUGAUGAGAGAAGGCACCCGCCGCUGCCCAAGGAUCGAGCCAGACGCCAUGGAACAGAGAUUUGUUGUACUAAGAAAACCAUAUUCCUUCAAGCAAGUGUGUUCAAGUUUACGUUCCACUGAAAAGCGUCAACAUUUUCAUGUGUAUCAACAGGUCUUGGAAAAUUAAAAUGCAUCCGCCGAACCCCAAGGAGGUAAGUUCAUCCUAGUCACCUAUAGGCAAGUUGGAGUUCAAUGCCCCCCCUUAAAAAACAAACAAAUAUUGUGUGUGUGGGAAACGGUCAGACACAAGAUUCAGCCAUCUGCAGCAUGCAGAAUCAGCAUUCACCGAUGGGUCCCAUCUCACAGUCCAGCAGCAGCGAUGGGUGCACCAUUGUUUGCUGCAGCACAGGCUGAGUGCUACCAGGCAGGAGCCAUCUUGUCCCCUAUUGCAGAUGUUUGCAGGGCUCCUGGGAUAGAGCCAAUUAACUAUGCCAUGUUUGUUUUCAUCACAUGUUACUUUUCAGCCUAUCAGCUGCACUCUGGUUUCUGCCUAAUUAUCCAGCAGCUCCACUCUAGACUCUGCUUAGUCAGCCAGCCAAUCCCUGUUUCCCAGCUGGUAUAAAUAUCCUGUUCCUGGGCUGCAAAGUGGUCAGUGCUUCAGUUGUCAUCCUAGUGAAACCAGUCUCUUCCUAUUGUGGUCGUUCCUGCCUGCAAACUCCACUAGAGACUCACACCAGAUCUGCUCUCCAUGGUGCAGCCUGACUCUGAAGUGUCUCAUCAUUGCAUCCUGUGACCGGCAGUUACCCGACACUGGCUUCCAGCUUCCAGUGGUGCUCUGCCCUGCCAGUCACCAUUGGUAUUCCACCAUCGAUCUCCAGUCACCAUCAGUGUUCCUCCAUCGAUCUCCAGUCACCAUUGGUGUUCCACCAUCGAUCUCUAGCUACAUCGGUGUUCCGCCAUCGAUCUCCCAUUGCACCCUGCGUCUAGCAGAUUACUAUAACACCGGCUUCCAGCAUUCCAGCUUCCAGCGGUUCCCUGCUCCUGUAUUCCGGGAAUCUCCGCUCACAAGCAUCUCCUGUAUAUGCUCUCAAGCAUCUCCUGUAUAUGCUCUCAAGCAUCUCCUGUAUAUGCUCUCAAGCAUCUCCUGUAUCUAUGCUCUCAAGCAUCUUCUGUAUCUGUGCUCUCAAGCAUCUCCUGUUUAUGCUUGUAAGCAUCACCUACAUAACGCCUCGCUCUCAAGCUACAGUUUGCAUUCCAGCAUUAUUAACACAGCUCUUCAGUGCAUUGGUGUGGUAAAGGACGCACCAUCUCCAGGUCCUUUAAGACUGUUCUAUUGUACCACACCUAGAGACUUCCUAUGUGCAUCUCUGAGAGCUGUGACUUGUCAUCCUGUUACCAUACUGCUAACUGUCGCUAUUAUUUGUGAGCGGAGUUCAUUUAAUAAACCUGUUGAACAUAUCCUCUGUUGUCGUGGUCACGUCUUUGGGCUUUAGGUACUGCAGGUUCACGCAUGUCC